rnacentral:lncRNA from 1 species
UUCUAUUAAAGCACAGACAUAUACUCACUUUAACAUUGGAUAAGAAAAAAUAUCAAAGAUGAGUAACUUUGAAGAGAAAAAGCCACAUGCAGUGUUAACUCCAUUUCCAAUUUAAGGCCAUAUCAAUCCAUUGUUGAAACUAGGAAAAUUACUUCACCUUAGAUGUUACAUGUUAAUAUUUAAUUUAAUUAUCAUUAACUAUAACCUAUUAGUUAGCCUGCUUAUUAGUAUUCUAUUCAAUUGUAUUUAUACAUGUUGAUUAGUCUUCUCUUUAUUUUAGUGUAUAAAUAAACCUGUCAUGUACUUUUACACAUAGAUCAAUGAGAAUUAUAUAUCACUUGUCUUUCUAUUUUCUACUGUGUUCUAAAUAUUAACAUGGUAUCAGUUGUGAAUCUCUUCAUCAAUUUCUCUUGUUGAUCGAUUCAUCUCAAGAAUCCUCUUUAUUAUUCAAUUUCUGAAUUUUUAUUUUCAGUUUUCAUUCCGCUGUUCAUUUGAUUCCUUGAUUAUUUGAUUUCUUUCAUCUCUAUGGAGAAUCCACCAUUUUUUGAUUUUGCAACCAAUCCUUCAAAUCCUUACUACUUGCAUCCUAAUGAAAAUCCAUCACUUGUUCUUGUUACUCCAUCAUUGGAUAACAAGAAUUACCAGACUUGGUCGCAAUCUAUGCGGGUCGCCUUAAUUUCCAAGAACAAAUUGAAAUUUGUUGAUGGCACCCUAAAUCCUCCUCCUGUUUCAAAUCUCCUUCAUGAACCAUGGUUAAGAUGUAACAACAUGGUUCUGUCUUGGCUUCAACGAUGUAUUUCUGAAACCAUUGUGAAAUCAAUCAUUUGGUGUGAUCGAGCCUCCGUGGUUUGGAAGCGAUUGGAGAACCGUUUUGCACAGGGUGAUAUUUUCAGAGUUGCUGAUAUUCUUGAGGAAUUGGCUAAAUUUCAACAAGGUAAUCUUGAUAUCUCCUCCUAUUUUACACAAUUAACCACUUUGUGGGAAGAAAUUCAGAACUUCCGGCCAAUUCGUGAUUGCACUUGUGCCAUCCCUUGCACUUGUGGUGUUGCUUCUGAUCUCAAAAAGUAUAAUGAGCAAGACAAAGUAAUUAAGUUUUUGAAAGGUUUGAAUGAGCAAUAUGCACAUGUGCGCUCUCAGAUUAUGCUAAUUAAUCCUUUGCCUGAACUGGAUAAGACUUUUUCUCUUGUACUUCAACAAGAAAGACAAACACAUAUUCCUGUUUUUGGUGAAAUUCCUGUUGAUCAACAAUCAGCUGUUAAUCAAGUUCAGCAAACCAAUUCUAACAAAGGUUUUGCUCAUGGUGGUUCUUCUAGCUAUAGAGGUCGAGGUAAAGGAUCUUAUAAUGGAACAAGAGGACAGAAUCAAGGCAUUACUCGCACUUGUAGUCAUUGUGGAAGACAUAAUCAUACAAUUGAGACUUGUUUCCUUCUCCAUGGCUAUCCUCCUGGUUAUCAAAACAAAGGUCCUAAGUCAGCGAAUCUUGCGGUUUCUGAACAAAAGUAUACUGAUGCUGUCCAGAACCAAGGAUCUGUUAGCAGCCCUUCACUGAAUUCUAUCCAUGAGCAAUAUAAUCAGAUUUUGCAGCUUCUACAACAUUCAAAUUUGCAAGCUUCAACGUCAAACACCAAUGCUACUAUGCCUCAGCCUGCUGUCAAUUCAGUUAUCUCACUUCCCGCAGCUUAUACUUCCACAUCCACUCCCAUAAUCGGUAAGAAAUCUACUCUUUGGGUCAUAGACUCAGGAGCAACUGAUCAUAUCACUCACUGUUUGCAAAAUUUUUCUUCUUUCUACAACAUUCCACCUAUCUCCAUGUCACUACCAAAUGGUAAUAAAAUAGUGACAACCAUAGCAGGCACAGUAUCCUUAUCCAAUUCACUUAUCCUUCAUAAUGUUUACUACAUUCCUGAUUUCAACAUCAAUUUAUUUUCAAUAUCUCAAUUUUUGAAAACUUCUAAUGCCAGUUUCUUGUUUUCUAUUGAUACAUGUUCUAUUGUGCAGAUUUUGAAUCAGAGAGUGAUUGGUACAGCUAAGAAGUUUGGAGGACUGUAUGUGUUGGAUUCUUCACUUCUAAAUAAAUCUCAAAAUAAUGGUUUAGUUUCUGCUUCAAUUUGUAAUUCUGUUUUUCCAAGUUUGUCGUCUAAGUCAACUGAUUCUGCAAAUGUUUGGCAUUAUAGAUUGGGUCACAUUUCGGAUUCCAUACACAAAUGUAUUUCCAUUCAGUUUCCCAUUGUAAAAUACACCAGUACCCACUCUCCUUGUGAUAUAUGCCAUUAUGCAAAACAUAAGAAAACAUCAUUUCCUCAUAGUCUUAUUCAUUCCACUCAAAUAUUUGAUAUACUACAUGUUGAUAUUUGGGGACCCUAUGCUACCCCUUCUGUUUCCGGAUUUAAAUAUUUUUUAACCUUGGUUGAUGACUUUAGUAGAUUUACAUGGGUCAUUUUUAUGAAAUGUAAAGGUGAAACAAGAAAUCAUCUCAUGAAUUUCAUUUCUUUCAUUGAUACUCAAUUCCAUAAGAAACUUAAAUGCUUGAGAAGUGAUAAUGGACUUGAGUUCAUCAUGCCUUCAUUUUAUCUUUCUAAAGGCAUCAUUCAUCAAAGGUCUUGUGUUGAGACUCCUCAACAAAAUGGUAUUGUAGAAAGGAAGCAUCAACAUAUCCUUAAUGUGGCUCGAGCCCUCUCCUUUCAAUCUCAUAUCCCUACCAAUUUUUGGCAUUUUUCAAUUCAACAAGCUGUCCAUAUCAUUAAUCGAAUCCCAACUCCCCUUCUACAAAAUAAAUCCCCAUAUGAAUGUCUUCACCAACAACAACCUUCUUUAAUUCACCUAAAAGUCUUCGGUUGCCUUGCUUUUGCCUCCACCAUCCAAAGUCAUAGAACCAAAUUUGAUUCUAGAGCAAGAAAAUCAGUUUUUCUUGGAUAUAGAGAAGGCACCAAGGGUUACCUUCUUUAUGAUCUUCAUUCACAUGAAUUUUUCUUAUCAAGAAAUGUCAUCUUUCAUGAAUCAUCUUUUCCAUUUUCUACAUUGCAUGAACGAUGUUCCCCUGAUUCCUCUACACCUCAUGUCUCCGUUGAUAAUUCACAUCUUUCUUCCUAUCAUGAACCCAUCCAAUCAUCUGUUAUUCCAAAUUCUUCUUUUCCUCUCUCUCAAAACCUUGAUAAUUCUGAUACUUCUACAACACAUAAUUCUACCCCUCCUAAUGCUACAUCUUCUGCAACAGCUAUUCCAGAUCAGACCACAACAGAUGUACCUAUUCGACGAUCUGCACGACCUAAAACAACACCGGCAUAUCUUAAAGACUAUCACUGCAGUCUCCUUACUUCUUCUGAAUCACAAUUACUCUCUGACUCAGGUAAAUCGGCAUAUCCUCUCUUUUCUGUUUUGACAUAUGAUCAUUGCACUCCUUCAUAUAAAAAAUUUUGUCUAACUGUUUCUUCUAACCCUGAACCUAAGACCUAUAAUCAAGCUUGUAAGAUUGAAUGUUGGAAAGAAGCUAUGAAAGAUGAGUUACAUGCUCUUGCAGCCACAAAUACUUGGUCAAUUGUUGAUUUACCACCAGGAAAAGUUCCAAUUGGAUGCAAGUGGGUUUACAAAACUAAAUACCACUCUGAUGGUUCUCUUGAAAGGCAUAAAGCCCGGUUAGUUGCAAAGGGUUAUACUCAAAUGGAAGGAGUUGAUUACUUUGAUACUUUUUCACCGGUUGCAAAAAUGACUACAGUUAGAACAUUACUUUCUUUGGCAGCCAUCAAAGGGUGGUUUCUUGAGCAACUUGAUGUCAAUAAUGCAUUUCUCCAUGGUGACCUCAAUGAAGAAGUUUACAUGGUGUUACCCCCUGGUCUGAAGCUUCAAAAUUCAGAUUCUAAUGAUCUUAAAGUUUGUCGGUUAAAUAAGAGUCUCUAUGGCUUGAAGCAAGCUAGUAGGCAAUGGUAUGCCAAACUUUCUGCAGCGUUGGUUUCUCUCGGAUACACUCCUUCUGUUGCUGAUUCUUCUUUGUUCACUAAGCUAAAAGGUACCAAUUUUACUGCCUUAUUAGUUUAUGUGGACGACAUAGUUUUAUCAGGAAAUGAUUAUGCUGAAAUUCAGCAUGUUAAGCAGUUUUUGGAUCAAAAAUUUCGCAUCAAAGACCUUGGGAAGCUAAGAUUUUUUCUUGGCUUGGAAAUAGCAGGAUCAAACAAAGGAAUUUCGGUGAAUCAACGCAAAUAUACUCUUGAGCUUCUUGAAGAUAGUGGUCACAUGGCUGUUAAGCCUAGUUCCACUCCCUAUGAUACCUCCUUAAAGUUGCAUAAUUCUGAUUCCCCUCCAUAUCAUGAUGAAUUCUCCUUCAGAAGUUUGAUUGGUAGACUUCUCUAUUUGACACUCACGCGGCCUGACAUUGCUUUUGCUGUUCAACAACUUAGUCAAUUUGUUUCCAAGCCCCGUGAAGUCCACUUUCAAGCUGCUACAAAGAUUCUGAAGUAUCUCAAGAACUCUCCAGCCAAAGGGUUAUUCUAUUCAUCUUCAUCUCCCGUCAAACUUGCAGGUUUUGCUGAUUCAGAUUGGGCUAGCUGUCCCUCUACUAGACGAUCUGUCUCCGGUUUUUGUGUGUUUCUUGGCUCUUCCCUCAUCUCAUGGAAGUCUAAGAAGCAAACAACUGUUUCUAGAUCCAGCUCUGAAUCUAAGUAUAGAGCCUUGGCCAGCCUUACUUGUGAAUUACAAUGGCUCUCCUAUUUGUUCAAGGAUCUUCAUAUCAACUUUCAACAACCAGCUUCAGUAUAUUGUGACAAUAAAUCAGCCAUAUAUCUUGCUCAUAAUCCAACAUUUCAUGAGAGAACAAAACACAUUGAGAUUGAUUGUCAUGUUGUGCGCGAAAGAAUUCAAAGUGGUCUCAUUCAUCUCUUUCCCGUGCCAUCUUCUUCUCAAAUAGCAGAUUUGUUGACAAAACCACUUCUGUCUCCAGCUUUCAAUUCCUUGGUUUCCAAGCUUAGCCUAUGUGAUCUUCAUAGUCCAGCUUGUGGGGGGAUGUUACAUGUUAAUAUUUAAUUUAAUUAUCAUUAACUAUAACCUAUUAGUUAGCCUGCUUAUUAGUAUUCUAUUCAAUUGUAUUUAUACAUGUUGAUUAGUCUUCUCUUUAUUUUAGUGUAUAAAUAAACCUGUCAUGUACUUUUACACAUAGAUCAAUGAGAAUUAUAUAUCACUUGUCUUUCUAUUUUCUACUGUGUUCUAAAUAUUAACAUUAGAGGAUUUCACAUAACCUUUGUCAACACCGAAUACAAUCACAAACGCUUGCUCAAAUCAAGAGGUCCAAAUGCCUUUGAUGGUUUCAAUGAUUUUACCUUUGAGACCAUACCAGAUGGUUUAACUCCGGUGGAAGGUGAUGGUGAUGUUAGUCAAGACUUACGCG